CAAAUCUCACAAUUCGAAACUCCCGCCAUAAAACGGGCGAAUCCCAACGAAGCUGCGAGUUUACGCAAACUCGCAGGUGGUACCUUAUUUGGCUCUGGCCUGUACAUUUGUCACGCCUCACAAUUUACAUACAGACCAGCCCACUGGUGCUCUAAGCCCAGGAACGUGAAUGGAGAGCGAAGAUGAGAGAAACACUAGUUUAGCUGCCUGCUCGUUUCCUUCAACAGGAAUUAUAAAGCAGACAGUUCUUCAAGGAUAUCGAAAAUGAGCCACGGUCGUAAAUGCAGUGUUUACAGUCUAUGGCUGAAACUUAGGCUACAAAGAAAGCUGAGACUUUCCAUAGUCUUCCCAAGGAUUCAAAAGUUCGAGGGGCAUGGAUAAUGUUUUUCUACCAGAAGAUCCCUGCAAAGUUCGCCACUCCGUUAUUAAUUUACAAAACAUUUCACCGAAGGCAGUUUUCAAAACCUUGGACAGUUAAGCAGGAUUUGCUAAGCUGCUGUUACUGAAACGAGGGGCUGUUCAAGGUCAUCACAACCGCAUGCUGUUUUAUCUUGCAGCCAUGCACUUCAAUGAGAAUGCUGAGUCCCCACAACGGAAGACAGCCAAGGAGAAACUAUGUACAGACUUGCCAAACAAUUUGACUUGUGUGCUCAGCUUGACAGACCUUCCAUGGAGGAUGCUGUUGCUGAACAUGUGUCACGGUUCAGUCGAAAAAGAGUCUGAAUCCAACGUACUGCCCUGAAGUAUCCGGAUAUGCGUAGCACUACACACGAGGGGAUCAUGACACGGACGCUUCUUCAAAGGAAACCCCAGCUCCUGCUCACAAAAGACCUGUAGGCCAAGUCACUUCAUUGCCUGCAAUGAGAACAGGGUGGAAAAGCAAAAAAAAUGUACUAUUUAUUUUUUUAAUAUUUUACAUCAGAGUAUCACUGGACAAUUGUUGAAAAAAAUAAAUAAAGUUUAUCAUUUUGUGGUGUUGAUCAAACUGUGUUUUUGCAAUAUGCUGAACCAAUAAUGAAUGUGUAUUGGUUAAAAAUAUUUUACUUGUAACUGCUAACACUUGUAUCAGAUUGUCCUCACCUUUCCAUUCCUCUGUGACUCAAACGGCCAUGGUCAGCUCUGUAAAUAUUCAUUGCAUUUUGCAAAGAAUAUAGAGGCACAACGGAUCGAGGCCAUGAUGGUCAUUCAGGUCAGCUCCUCAGGAACCUGGGUCAUUCUUUUAAUAACCUGUAAAAAAACAUAAUUUCCCUGCUGUUAUUUAGUAAUUUUGAAUGAGCAGGUAGCACAAAGUAGCAAAUGUCUCCAGUUUUAGUUACCAGAGUUGUAAGAUCACAUAUUAGGCUACUACAUGGAAAGAAGGUAAUCUGAUCUCAAUCUGAUGGCAGCAGGAUAGUUACAAGAUUACAUUAGACCUACUGACUGUACCUACUUUUUAAACAGUGAUAUUUAUAGGAUUUUUGAUUAUUGUACUCUACUCCAUUGUAGCCUACUAUGUAAAUUGCCCCUUGGGGAUAAA